rnacentral:rRNA from 1 species
AGUGAACGCUGGCGGUAGGCCUAACACAUGCAAGUCGAACGGCAGCACAGUAAGAGCUUGCUCUUACGGGUGGCGAGUGGCGGACGGGUGAGGAAUACAUCGGAAUCUACUUUUUCGUGGGGGAUAACGUAGGGAAACUUACGCUAAUACCGCAUACGACCUACGGGUGAAAGCAGGGGAUCUUCAGACCUUGCGCGAUUGAAUGAGCCGAUGUCGGAUUAGCUAGUUGGCGGGGUAAAGGCCCACCAAGGCGACGAUCCGUAGCUGGUCUGAGAGGAUGAUCAGCCACACUGGAACUGAGACACGGUCCAGACUCCUACGGGAGGCAGCAGUGGGGAAUAUUGGACAAUGGGCGCAAGCCUGAUCCAGCCAUACCGCGUGGGUGAAGAAGGCCUUCGGGUUGUAAAGCCCUUUUGUUGGGAAAGAAAAGCAGCAGGUUAAUACCCCGCUGUUCUGACGGUACCCAAAGAAUAAGCACCGGCUAACUUCGUA